rnacentral:rRNA from 1 species
GCUGCGGGGAGCUGGCAAACGAGCUUUGAUCCGCAGAUAUCCGAAUGGGGAAACCCGGCCCGAAUGGGUCAUCCCUUGCUGAAUACAUAGGCAAGGGAAGCGAACGCAGUGAACUGAAACAUCUAAGUAGCUGCAGGAACAGAAAUCAACCGAGAUUCCCAAAGUAGUGGCGAGCGAAAUGGGAUCAGCCUUGUACUCUUUAGCAGUAUUGUUAGCAAAGCGGAAUGGAAAGUCCGGCCAUAGUGGGUGAUAGCCCCGUAUGCGAAAACAGUAUUGUGGAACUAGGUGUACGACAAGUAGGGCGGGACACGUGAAAUCCUGUCUGAAGAUGGGGGGACCAUCCUCCAAGGCUAAAUACUCGUAAUCGACCGAUAGUGAACCAGUACCGUGAGGGAAAGGCGAAAAGAACCCCGGGAGGGGAGUGAAAUAGAUCCUGAAACCGCAUGCAUACAAACAGUCGGAGCCUGGAAACGGGUGACGGCGUACCUUUUGUAUAAUGGGUCAGCGACUUACAUUCAGUGGCAAGCUUAACCGAUUAGGGAAGGCGUAGCGAAAGCGAGUCCGAAUAGGGCGUUCAGUCGCUGGGUGUAGACCCGAAACCAAGUGAUCUAUCCAUGGCCAGGUUGAAGGUGCGGUAACACGUACUGGAGGACCGAACCCACUAACGUUGAAAAGUUAGGGGAUGAGCUGUGGAUAGGGGUGAAAGGCUAAACAAACUUGGAAAUAGCUGGUUCUCUCCGAAAACUAUUUAGGUAGUGCCUCGUGUCUCACCUUCGGGGGUAGAGCACUGUCAUGGUUGGGGGGGUCUAUUGCUGAUUACCCCGCCAUAGCAAACUCCGAAUACCGAAGAGUGCAAUCACGGGAGACAGACAUCGGGUGCUAACGUCCGGUGUCAAGAGGGAAACAACCCAGACCGCCAGCUAAGGUCCCUAAAUAUUGCUAAGUGGGAAACGAAGUGGGAAGGCUAAAACAGUCAGGAGGUUGGCUUAGAAGCAGCCACCCUUUAAAGAAAGCGUAAUAGCUCACUGAUCGAGUCGUCCUGCGCGGAAGAUGUAACGGGGCUAAGCAAUAUACCGAAGCUGCGGAUGCACGUAAGUGCAUGGUAGGAGAGCGUUCUGUAAGCCUGUGAAGGUGUCUUGUAAAGGAUGCUGGAGGUAUCAGAAGUGCGAAUGCUGACAUGAGUAGCGAUAAAGGGGGUGAAAGGCCCCCUCGCCGUAAGCCCAAGGUUUCCUACGCAACGUUCAUCGGCGUAGGGUGAGUCGGCCCCUAAGGCGAGGCAGAGAUGCGUAGCUGAUGGGAAGCAGGUUAAUAUUCCUGCACCGUCGUAUGAUGCGAUGGGGGGACGGAUCGCGGAAGGUUGUCCGGGUGUUGGAUGUCCCGGUCCCUGCAUUGGAGAUGGCACUUAGGCAAAUCCGGGUGCGUGAUUCAAGGGUGUGGGGCGAGCGACUUUAGGUCGCGAAGCAAUUGGAAGUGGUUCCAAGAAAAGCCUCUAAGCUUCAGUCAUACGAGACCGUACCGCAAACCGACACAGGUGGGCGAGAUGAGUAUUCUAAGGCGCUUGAGAGAACUCGGGAGAAGGAACUCGGCAAAUUGGUACCGUAACUUCGGGAUAAGGUACGCCCUUGUAGUUUGACUGGCUCGCGCCAGAGGACGAAGGGGUUGCAAUAAAAUGGUGGCUGCGACUGUUUAAUAAAAACACAGCACUCUGCAAACACGAAAGUGGACGUAUAGGGUGUGACGCCUGCCCGGUGCCGGAAGAUUAAAUGAUGGGGUGCAAGCUCUUGAUUGAAGUCCCGGGUAAACGGCGGCCGUAACUAUAACGGUCCUAAGUAGCGAAA